rnacentral:rRNA from 1 species
CCAGCAGCUGCGGUAAUUCCAGCUCCAAUAGCGUAUAUUUAAGUUGUUGCAGUUAAAAAGCUCGUAGUUGGAUUUCGGGUGGGUUCUAGCGGUCCGCCUAUGGUGAGUACUGCUAUGGCCUUCCUUUCUGUCAUAAACGGGCUUCUGGUCUUAACUGUCCGGGACUCGGGUGUGACGUGGUUACUUUGAGUAAAUUAGAGUGUUCAAAGCAGGCUUACGCCCUGAAUACUUUAGCAUGGAAUAACACGAUAGGACUCUGCCCUAUCCUGUUGGCCUGUAGGAGUGGAGUAAUGAUUAAGAGGGACAGUCGGGGGCAUUCGUAUUUCAUUGUCAGAGGUGAAAUUCUUGGAUUUAUGAAAGACGAACUACUGCGAAAGCAUUUGCCAAGGAUGUUUUCAUUAAUCAAGAACGAAAGU